rnacentral:rRNA from 1 species
AGUGAACGCUGGCGGCAGGCCUAACACAUGCAAGUCGAACGGAAGCACAGUAAGCUUUCUCCCUUACGGGUGGCGAGUGGCGGACGGGUGAGGAGUACAUAGCAAUCUACUAUGUCGGGGGGGAUAACGUAGGGAAACUGACGCUACCACCGCAUACGACCUACGGGAGAAAGCAGUAGUUCAUCGGAGCUUGCGUGACUGAUAUAGACGAUGCCGGAUUAGCUAGUUGGCGUGGUAACGGCCCACCAAGGCAACGAUCCGUAGCUGAUCUGAGAGGAUGAUCAGCCACACUGGAACUGAGACACGGUCCAGACUCCUACGGGAGGCAGCAGUAGGGAAUCUUGGACAAUGGGCGCAAGCCUGAUCCAGCAAUACCGCGUGAGUGAAGAAGGCCUUCGGGUUGUAAAGCCCUUUUGUUGGGAAAGAAAAGCAGCAGAUUAAUCCACCGCUGUUCUGACGGUACCCAAAGAGUAAGCCCCGGCUAACUUCGUG